rnacentral:rRNA from 1 species
UGCAUAUCAAUAAGCUGAGGAAAAGAAACUAACAAGGAUUCCCCUAGUAGCGGCGAGCGAAGCGGGAAGAGCUCAAAUUUAUAAUCUGGCGCUUUCAGCGUCCGAGUUGUAAUCUCUAGAAGUGUUUUCCGCGUUGGACCGCACAUAAGUCUGUUGGAAUACAGCGGCACAGUGGUGAGACCCCCGUAUACGGUGCGGAUGCCCAAUGCUUUGUGAUACACUUUCGAAGAGUCGAGUUGUUUGGGAAUGCAGCUCAAAUUGGGUGGUAAAUUCCAUCUAAAGCUAAAUAUUGGCGAGAGACCGAUAGCGAACAAGUACCGUGAGGGAAAGAUGAAAAGCACUUUGGAAAGAGAGUUAACAGUACGUGAAAUUGUUGGAAGGGAAACGCUUGAAGUCAGACUUGCUUUUCGGGGUUUACUCCGGUUGGCAGGCCAGCAUCAGUUUUCCGGGGCGGAAAAUCACGGUUAGAAGGUAGCAGUUUCGGCUGUGUUAUAGCUUUCCGUUGGAUACGUCCUGGGGGACUGAGGAACGCAGUGUGCUUUUAGCGAGGGCUUCGGCCCUUUCACACUUAGGAUGCUGGUGGAAUGGCUUUAAACGACCCGUCUUGAACACGA